rnacentral:misc_RNA from 1 species
AAUGGACAAUAUACAGACUUUGUCGAUUCAAAUUUACAAAGCUAUGAUAGAAGUGAAAUAGAACGGAUGAUUUUUUGUGCUGCGGCUUGUGUUUAUAAGUCUUUUGAGUCUCGCCCACCAAUGAAAGAGAUAGUUCGAGUUCUUGAAGGAUAUAUGUGUAUAGAAGAAACAUGGAAUGAGAAGAAUGACAACAUAUUCCUGAAAGAUAAUCCUGAGUCUAGUGGAUCUAAUAAUGUUGAGC